AGCAUCUUCCCUCUGGAAGGAGCCAGGCAGGCUCUUCAUUUGAGCUUUUCUCUCCCCAAGGAAGGAAGGGAGGAAGAAAAAGGAAGGGCCAUGGAGUUUGGGCACCUAGGCUGGAGAACAUCAGGGUCAGCGGAGGCCUCCCCAGCCCGCAAGUCACGGUAGCAGAAAUGCUGAGCUGGACUGAAACUGUAAGGAAAGCCCUAUGCGGGUACAGAACUGUACAGUUUGCAAAGAAAUAUAUUGGCUCUGAAGUAUUUAUAAAGCCCUUUCCAUUCACAAACUCCCACUGCCCCUUGCAGCUGCAGUCAGAUGCAUCUAUAACGGUGAGAAGCAGAGAAGAAAGGAAGGCAAGAGCACAGGAAAGAAAGGAAGAAGAGAGGAAGAAAG